rnacentral:rRNA from 1 species
GCUAAAAAUUUAGCCCCACCCAUCCGCAUAUUCUUUCCGUACUUAUUCCUAUAAACUAAAACAUUUUUUAUAUUUAGUAAAGGCGAUUAAAAAAUUUUUAUGGAGCAAUAACC